rnacentral:lncRNA from 1 species
AGAUAUUGAUCUUGUUUUAUAUAGUAUAAAGAAUUUUCUAUCAAAAUUUCACGUGAUUUGGAUAUUUCUACACCGUUAAACUUGCAAACGGCUCACUACGGCCAUUGAAAUUUAUUGAUUAUGAGCCCAUUCGAUCACUAGGCAAAUGAUAUCGAAAAAUAAUAAAAUUUAUUUUCUAGGCACUCCAAAUACUCUAGAUCAAAUUUAACGGAGCCGAUCGACGAUUCGAAAAUCGCAACAUCGAAAACGAGCUGGAAGCACGAAAGGCUCCGUGCUUCCGAUAGCAUAGUAGCCUCACUCUAUAUAUAUAUAUAUAUAUAUAUUGUAUAGAGCCCUUCGUACUCAUAAGUUGUUUUCGAUGUUGGGCUUUUCGAAUCGACGAUCCACACCAUUAAACAUGAUUUAGAGUAUUCGAAACUUCAAAAAAGUAAUUUUGUAAUUUUUCGAAAUCAUUAUAAAGUCCAUCAAGUGGGUAUAACAUGAACGGUUAAAAUCGAACGACAUCCUAAAAAUGGAUGAUCGGAUCCUUCAAUCUAUGAUCAAAGUUAUUGAUCUUUAUUUAGGUGGUGAAUAGAAUUUUCUAUAAAAAAUUCAACCUAUUCUGAUUCUUUUUCACUGUUAACCUAGCAAAUAUCUCAUAUCGGCCGUUAAAAAUUGUCAAUUUUGUGAGCUUUUGAUCGUAAGAUAAAUGAUAUCGAAAAAUUAUAAAAUUUGAUUUCUAGAAGUUUUAAAUGCUCUAAAUAAUGUUUAACAGUAUGGAUCGUCGCUUCGGAAGCUCUAUUAUCGAAACAAUUUAUGAGUACGAAGGCGAUCGUACUCAUAAGAGUAUAUAUAGUAGCCGGACUCUCUCUCUCGCUCUCUCUCUCUCUCUCUCUCUCUCUCUCUCUCUCUCUCUCUCUCUCUCUCUAUAUAUAUAUAUAUAUAUAUAUAUA